GGCGUGCCUAACACAUGCAAGUCGAACGGAUUUUAAUCCGUAGCAAUACGGAUUAAAAUCAGUGGCGCACGGGUGAGUAACACGUGGGUAAUCUGCCUCCAAGAUCGGGACAACCUGCCGAAAGGCGGGCUAAUACCGGAUGAGACCACGCUCUCGAAAGAGAGUGAGGUUAAAGGCGGCGCAAGCUGUCACUUGGAGAUGAGCCCGCGGCCCAUCAGCUAGUUGGUAGGGUAACGGCCUACCAAGGCUAUGACGGGUAGCUGGUCUGAGAGGACGACCAGUCACACUGGAACUGAGACACGGUCCAGACUCCUACGGGAGGCAGCAGUGGGGAAUAUUGGACAAUGGGCGAAAGCCUGAUCCAGCAACGCCGCGUGGGUGAUGAAGGCCUUCGGGUCGUAAAGCCCUGUCAGCAGGGAAGAAAAACCGGGAUUCGAAUAGGGUCUCGGCUUGACGGUACCCGCGGAGGAAGCACCGGCUAACUCUGUGCCAGCAGCCGCGGUAA
rnacentral:rRNA from 1 species